rnacentral:rRNA from 1 species
UACGUAGGGUCCGAGCGUUGUCCGGAAUUACUGGGCGUAAAGAGCUCGUAGGUGGUUUGUCGCGUUGUUCGUGAAAACUCACAGCUCAACUGUGGGCGUGCGGGCGAUACGGGCAGACUUGAGUACUGCAGGGGAGACUGGAAUUCCUGGUGUAGCGGUGGAAUGCGCAGAUAUCAGGAGGAACACCGGUGGCGAAGGCGGGUCUCUGGGCAGUAACUGACGCUGAGGAGCGAAAGCGUGGGGGAGCGAACAGGAUUA